GUUGUCGCCGUUACGCUCUUUCAACGGAGAAGCUAACCUGUAGGUUGUGUGCGUAGCAGAAACGAGACAACCGCAAAGCAAAAAGCCAUAGUACAGAUGGGAGCAAGUAAUCAAGCGCUGUGUCCUUCGUAACAUACAGGAACAGGCUCACUUUUGUUUAUGUCGCUAAUUUUUUGUUCCCCAGAGGUCGCCUUGCGGGGGCGCAGCGAAAAAGCGCCCGCUCUCCCGAUACUUGGCUGCGCGCGGCAUCGAUCCCCGUCAGAGCAGCGAGGGCCGCCCGUCGAGAGACUCGCCACACAGCCGAGAGAAUUCGCACGCUUUCACGACGGCAGCUUACAGUAGCGCGAGCAUCGCACUUUGACAGUCUUUCUAGCUACGUUGCAGCUUCUUUACACACAUCGGUUGCCGGCUGCCCAACGUUAUCGUCUCCUCUUUUUUUUUUUUUUUUAUGAUUGUGCAUUGCGUCGCGUGUGCCGAAUCCGUCUUCGUGGUCACGCAGGGUGAGUCAAUUUUUUUUUUUACCCUUCCAUCCUGAAGCAGGAUUCCGGUCUUUGGGAUUCCGGUCUACGUACUUGUCCAAAGCCAGCUUUUCGUGCCCGUUUACAGGGCUGUUACACGAUGACACGGGCAAACACAAGCUCCGGUGCCGGGACGGACUGGACCCAGUGGAGAACGCUAAGCUCCUGUGCGGUUCUCCUUUGGAUGUAUGCAGUGGUACUGUCGGAUACAGCAGCGGCCGGUCAACAAGGAACAGCCGUACAGAAUCCCCCUGGAGGUAGCCAUCCAGCCACCACGUAACUCUCUGUCAGCAGGCCAGUUGUUGCAUCUGGUGUGCUCAUCGAGUGGCUCACGUCCCCUCGCUCUGGUCAGCUGGUGGAACGGAGGUGAGCAGCUGCUCUCAACCCAAGAGAACACGAGAAAACACGAAGGAACCAGCUCCAGCGUGCUUCUUUUUACACCGUAAGGGGCCGACAACGGAGCUGUGCUCUCUUACCGGGCCGAGAACAAGUUCAUUCCCGGAAGCACCAUCAUACAUGGAGUGAAGCUAGAUAUAUUCUACGCACCUGCCUGCAAGCCGGGGCAGAAGCGCUUGUAUGGUGCGUCGCAAUAUGACUCCGCGUCAUUACGCUGCGAAGUUGAAGCAGACCCCGCAGACGUGACGUUCCACUGGUGUUUCAUAGUUCUGUGAGCCGCAAGCAUCUACCACUGACCAGUUUCAAUCAGGAGCUGACGCACAGCGUGGCGUCGCAUUCAGCAUUGAACGAGGAUGAGUUCGGCUUCCUACUCUGCUGAGGCGCUAACGAGGUCGGCAGAUAAUGGAAGCCCUGCGCUUUUGCCGUUGUUAAAGCUGGUCCUCGGGAACCCGUGAGCAACUGCAGCCAAGUGAAUAGCACGUGACUCGGUGUCAUUGGAGUGAUCGCAAGGCCUCUGGGAUGGUGGCGUGCAGCCCGUCACGUUCGUGGCAGAGCUGCCAGACGCGAACACCGAUAGCCUAUUGGCCAAUGCCUCUUCCACGUCACAUCCGGCAUUCUCCUUCAGUGGCCUUGAGGAGCGCGCCAGCUUCCGAGUUUUACUUUACUCCACCAACCCCAAAGGUCAGCUUGCACCUGUGGACUUCUUUGUCAGCGCUCUUCGGCCUGCCAAAACACUGACUCGUACGCAUAACGCCGUCACAGACGAGUCUGCUGACAUAUUUUAGUGGAGACGAAAAUCAGGGUCCAUGUGCGGUGUCGGUACUACCAUGCUUGUUAGGUAGGGCGUACAAUGCACAGUACCUGGCUUCUGUAGACUGUAGAAGCUAAGGAAACACUUAAAAACAGCAGAGGGCGAAUAGCCACUUUUUCGAGUAUGACUAUGUUACGAAUAGUAACUAAUAACUAACAGUAAGAAAGCGGAAUAGUUAAACGCAGACGCAGAUAUACAUUUGCCGCAAGCAUAUUCAUUCCACUGCCGUUACCUUCCACGCCUUUCAUCAUCAUCAUCAUCAUCAGCCUGGUUACGCCCACUGCAGGGCAAAGGCCUUUCCCAUACUUCUCCAACUGCCCCGGUCAUGUACUAAUUGUGGCCAUGUUGACCCUCCAAACUUCCCAAUCUCAUCUGCCCACCUAACUUUCUGUCGCCCCCUGCUACGCUUCCCUU